GAUGAACGCUGGCGGCGUGCCUUAUACAUGCAAGUCGAGCGAACGGACGAGAAGCUUGCUUUUCUGAUGUUAGCGGCGGACGGGUGAGUAACACGUGGAUAACCUACCUAUAAGACUGGGAUAACUUCGGGAAACCGGAGCUAAUACCGGAUAAUAUUUUGAACCGCAUGGUUCAAAAGUGAAAGACGGUCUUGCUGUCACUUAUAGAUGGAUCCGCGCUGCAUUAGCUAGUUGGUAAGGUAACGGCUUACCAAGGCAACGAUGCAUAGCCGACCUGAGAGGGUGAUCGGCCACACUGGAACGGAGACACGGUCCAGACUCCUACGGGAGGCAGCAGUAGGGAAUCUUCCGCAAUGGGCGAAAGCCUGACGGAGCAACGCCGCGUGAGUGAUGAAGGUCUUCGGAUCGUAAAACUCUGUUAUUAGGGAAGAACAUAUGUGUAAGUAACUGUGCACAUCUUGACGGUACCUAAUCAGAAAGCCACGGCUAACUACGUG
rnacentral:rRNA from 1 species